CUACGUGCCAGCAGCCGCGGUAAUACGGAAGCGGGCGUUAUCCGGAUUUAUUGGGUUUAAAGGGAGCGUAGGCUGGAGAUUAAGUGUGUUGUGAAAUGUAGACGCUCAACGUCUGACUUGCAGCGCAUACUGGUUUCCUUGAGUACGCACAACGUUGGCGGAAUUCGUCGUGUAGCGGUGAAAUGCUUAGAUAUGACGAAGAACUCCGAUUGCGAAGGCAGCUGACGGGAGCGCAACUGACGCUGAAGCUCGAAGGUGCGGGUAUCGAACAGGAUUAGAUACCCUGGUAGUCCGCACAGUAAACGAUGGAUGCCCGCUGUUGGUACUUGGUAUCAGCGGCUAAGCGAAAGCAUUAAGCAUCCCACCUGGGGAGUACGCCGGCAACGGUGAAACUCAAAGGAAUUGACGGGGGCCCGCACAAGCGGAGGAACAUGUGGUUUAAUUCGAUGAUACGCGAGGAACCUUACCCGGGCUUGAA
rnacentral:rRNA from 1 species